GGAAGAGCGUGUGCUUGUUUGAAAUGGAAAAGUGUUGUGGUAGCUUUUGAUAAAGAAUAACAUCAAGACGAAGCAGCUGCUUUAUAAGUGGGAGAAGGACCCUCAGACCAAAUGCAAGUCCAAAAAAGGAUACAGCUGAUGUCAGUCCAGUGGCAGUGAUUCUGAUUAUGAGCCACGAGUGGCUAGGUGUCCAUCCCCCUCUGAAGCUGGUUCAUCCAGCUGGACCCCUGCUGUCUCCGGCUCCACACCUACCCGGCCAUCUAGUGUUGUGAAGUCAGUGACAAAGAAGCGGAGGUGGGGAAAAGGGAAACCUGCAGACAGAGGACCAGAGGGUCGUUGGCACUCUGUGUUAGAAGACGAUGUGGAACCAAUUCCACCCGUUUUCAGACCCAAAAGGCAGCCAGGCCCUCAACUUGACAUGACCGCAAAGUACAGCCCCCUUCAACUUUUCCAACUGUUUUUCACCUCGUCAGUUGUUGAUUCCCUGGUGUCGAACACCAAUAAGUACGGGGCUAAGAAGCAGGCAGGAA
rnacentral:lncRNA from 1 species